UACGGAGGGGGCUAGCGUUGUUCGGAAUUACUGGGCGUAAAGCGCAUGUAGGCGGCUUGUUAAGUCAGGGGUGAAAUCCUGGAGCUCAACUCCAGAACUGCCUUUGAUACUGGCGAGCUUGAGUUCGGGAGAGGUGAGUGGAACUGCGAGUGUAGAGGUGAAAUUCGUAGAUAUUCGCAAGAACACCAAUGGCGAAGGCAGCUCUCUGGGACGGUACUGACGCUGAGACGCGAAAGCGUGGGGAGCGAACAGG
rnacentral:rRNA from 1 species